rnacentral:rRNA from 1 species
GACAGAGGGGGCAAGCGUUGCUCGGAAUCACUGGGCGUAAAGGGCGCGUAGGCGGUCUUGUAAGUCUUGUGUGAAAUCCCUCGGCUUAACUGAGGAACUGCACGGGAUACUGCAUGACUUGAGAUCGGGAGAGGGAAGCGGAAUUCCGGGUGUAGCGGUGAAAUGCGUAGAUAUCCGGAGGAACACCGGUGGCGAAGGCGAAUCUCUGGACAGUUACUGACACUGAGGCACGAAGGCCAGGGGAGCAAACGGG